GGAGAGGGUUCUCCCCAAGUCCCCUCUCUGCCCUUUCCUCCCCUUUCUGUUCUCUUUAGGAGGCAGAAAAUGAAGAGAAAACGGGAAACGCCUGGAUCUCAAAGAGGUUGGCCUUGGUCAGGAUCAGAUGGUGGACAGGAAAGAAAAGGUGUAUGCAUUAGACCCUGUAUUGCCUACUCCUGAUAUAGAAUCCUAGAGCUGGAAAAGACCCCCAAGGGCCAUCCAGUCCAACCCCCUGCCAUGCAGGAAGGCACAAUCAAAGCAGUCCUGAUAGACAGCCUCUGCGGAAAAGCUUCCAGAGAAGGAGACCCCACCACACUCCCAGGCAGCCUGUACCGCUCUCCAGGAAGUUCUUCCUCAUCUUUUCAACCUAUUGCUCCCAUGUGUCCUUGUCUCUAGAGCAGCAGAAAAGCCGUUUUCCCCUUCAUGUUCCAUCUCUAGCUUCUCUUCUCCCAGCUAAACAUUCCCCAGGAGGAAAGGAGGAAGGAAAAAGAGAAAGAAGGAAAGAAGGAAGGAAGGGGAUGGAGGGAGGGAUGGAGGAAAGAGAGAAGGAAGGAAAGACAAAAGGGAAAGAAGGGAGGAAGAAAGGAAGGGAAAAGAGAAGGAAGGAGGGAGGAAAGAGGGAAGAAAGGAUGAAAGGUGGAAGGAAAGGAGGUAGGGAGGGAAGGAGUAAGGAACAAGAGAAGGAAGGAUAGAAUAGUGUGAGAGAGGAGGGCCUGAGAAAAGAGCCCGAGGGGCCGCAUCUGGCCCAUACCUGCAGUAGGGGAAUCUGAGACUGACUUCACAGGAUGGAAGUUGUAGUUCAUCCUGCAUCUGUGAUCCCCACUGACAAUAGACCGGAAUCAAACUUGGCACAAAGAAGCCUCAUGACCACCAGAACAUACUGCAUGGGUUUCUGGGAAGUGACCUUGAUUUUGGGAGCUGUAGCUCACCCUCAUCCAGAGAGCACUGAACCUAGGCAAUGUCGAAUCUGGACCAAGCUUGCCAAACAAACCCAACAUGGCCAACUGUUCCUACAGGCCUGGUUUGGUGAGGAUUGACCCAUGAUUCUGGGAAUUGUAGUUCACCCACAUUAUUAAGUAUUUUCUACUGGAAGCAUUCAUAACCAAUGAUAUCCAAGACUGGCUUUUUUCUAAUAAAUACUGUCAUUUGACUAAAUGAUAUUACCUAACACCCCAAAACAAAUAAUAAUAAUAAUAAUAAUAAUAAUAAUAAUAAUAAUAAUUUUAUUUUUAUAUCCCGCCUCCAUUUCCCCACAGGGAGAUUUGCGUACAUGUAUAUAAUGAGAUACCAGUAUCUUGGAGAUGAAACCCAAGUCAAAAUUUGGAAUUCGUUGAUGUUUCAUAUACACAUGGAUUGAUGGAGGAAGAGAAGAAAGAAGAGAAGUACGUCUCCCCCAUAAGCAAUAUAAUGCAGUAUGCCAGGAGCAACUAGCUUAGGGAAUGUAGUCUCAAGGGACAGGUUUUAAACCAACAUUAGAAGGAACUAUCCAAGGUGCUAGAUGUAGUUCAUGAAUGGAAUUCAGCAGAUUCAAUAGAGCCUCCGAUGGCACAGUGAAUUGUGCCGGUAGGACUGAUGACUUGAAAGUUGGGUUGCUGACCUGAAGAUUGCCGGUUUGAAUCCAACCCAGGGAGAGCGGAGAGAGGGAUGAGCUCCCUCUAUCAACUCCAGCUCCAUGCAGGGAUAUGAGAGAAGCUUCCCACAAGGAUGGUAAAAACAUCAAAAACAUCUGGGCAUUCCCUGGGCAACGUUCUUGCAGACAGCCAAUUCUUUCACACCAGAAAUGACUUGCAGUUUCUCAAGUUGCUCCUGACAUGAAAAAAGUAGCUCCAAUGGCCCCCUAUGGAGCAUAAACCAAAUUCUGGUGCAGAUAUAUUGCUAUGUUGACACAAAAGCCACCAGCUGCGAUUUACUGUGCUUUCUCCAUGAGCUACUGGCAACCUCAGUAGCCAUUAGAUAAAAUAUAUUUCUUAGAUCUAUUUGUCCAGACAAAUUACAAGUUGCUGUGAAAGAAGAAAUAUUCAUCUCUUCAUUUCACCUUGCACUACCACUGGAGAAAAAAAGAGGAGAGAGAAAUCAUCUAGACGAUCUUGCAUGAGUUAGCAAGUGGAUUCCAACUGGUUGGGAAGAAGGAAAGAAAGAAGAAUAGUUUUGUUGUUGUUUUUUUUUUCUUUUCACUCCAAUUAAACAUUACAGGCAAACAUACAUACAUUUACAACAUGUAUUAUGAGUCAAGAUAAACCAAUGAGAUUUUUUUUACAUCAACUAAUGAUUUUCUAUCAAUUAAAAAUAAUGGAUUGACCCUCCAGAAGUUGUGUUUGAAGCUUUUCCCAGUGCAAAAUCAGUUGUUAUUUUUGAAUAAUUUGUUUCUUAUUGCUGAAACUGGUAUACCAAGUGAAAUGUCAACAUACACAUACCUGAGACUACUAGAUAUCUCUUGGCUAUUGCAUUCUGGACUUAUAGGAAAGUUCUGCCUAGAUCUCUUGGGAAACGGAAACGUAAUUCUUAUCCCCUUUGGCAGAAGGCUUCAUGGAAGGUCACAUGUGUGUAGUUUUUCUUGUCCAGCGAAGAUUAAUAGCAUCUGUACUGGGGUGACUUUCACACUAACAUGUAGUUAAUUCCCUUGCUGUUAUAAAUAAUAUAAAGGUGGGCUUUAUUUGUAAAGCAUUCUUAAUGUAGGAGGUACAAUGCAGGCCAAUACAUCAAUUUUAUUUCCAGCCAAAUUACAGAGACUCAUGAUCUCAGUUUGAAUCUUUGCCACCCAACUUACCCCAUUCAGUCAUCUGGUGAUUAGUGCUAUUGUGCAGUUCUCUAAUUCAUUUAUUGUUGUUGCUUUACGUUGUGGAGAUCCUAGUAUGCCUAAAAGAAGUACCUUCUAAUCAGGAAAAAAACCUCUUUUUUUCAGUGAUGGGUGCUGAUUAUGCCAAUGAUGCAAAAGGAUGAACACUCAACAUUGUCUUUCUGCCUUUCAUCAAAAAGAUGUUCUUUCCCAGAGAGCUUUGGGGGUGCGCUGACUGCUUAAUUAAGAACUCAAUGGUGCUUCCACUUAUUUUGUUUGUUUAGUUUGUUUUCUACUGCUUUCAUUAGUUUGAUGCUGUGAGUUUAUGCAAUAGUUCUAAUUUGUAAAGCUUUCAAUAUACUAUGUAAACAAGGCUGGCUAUUUUAAAUCAAAAGGCGUUUUAACAAAUGAAUACAUACAAUUCGAGACAAUCUCCAUGGUUGGCAAGACCCAGCAUGGUAUAGUUGUUUGAAUAACUGCACUAAGGUUCCAUGUGACAGAGGAUGAAUGAAUCCCCACUCAGCUGUGGAAACCAUUGGAUAAGUUGCAUGUUCUCAACCUUGGAGGAAGGCAAUGGCAAGCCUUCUCUGAAUAAAUCUUGCUAUGGGAACCCUCUGAUAGUGUCACCAUAAGUUGUAUUCAUCUUGAAGGCAUAUAAAAAUCACAUCUGUUUGAAACUGAAACUGGUUUGUGGAAGGAGAAAAAUAGAGUUCACUAGACGUGAGUUCUAAAUAUUGAUUCCAUGAUCAAGUUUUCCAGUGUGUUUCCCAUUCCUUUCCCUUUGCCAGUGUCAGGACCAUGGGGCUGGAUGAGGAGGGUUUCCUCCGAGCACCAGAAUCUGAGCCUCAAGAAGAGGAACAGCCUGAUGCUACUAAGUCUGAGCAGAAACAGACCUUUCCAGGAAUGUAAGCACCGGAGCCAAAUCAGAAGGAGGAGGAAGAAUAAGCAUUGGCUCGCCCCCUGCCCAGCUCCAGCUCAGGAACAAUGUCAUCCAGUUGUGACUGUCUAAUCGAUUGGCUGCAAGAAGAAAAUAGCAGCUGCAAAGGUUUGUCAGGAGCUGCAUAAAAGGCUGGUGUUUGGAACAGUUGACUGUUGGAGACAAUCAUUGUUUGGUGUUGCAGCUGUGAAUCUUUCAUGCCCUUGGACUAGGUUUGUACAUCAGACCUGGGCUUUGAACCUUGGACUACUCCUUAGAUAUUGGCCCUGGACUUGCAGUAAAUAUAGGUAUAUUGGAAUGGACAUUGGAAUUGGCUUGCUUGCUUCUAUUUACUGAAAUGUCUUCAGUGUUAAAUCCUGGACUGUCCCUGACUACUCUUACUGACAGCCAGGCUCCUGUGCCUCUUGCAUGCCAUGGAAGUAUUCAGCAGGUACAUUAAUGGAAAUUUGGAUCGCUAGUCUUUUUAUUGUAGUCCUAUUGGUGUAUAUCAGGUAUGAGGAAUGUGGGUCACUACAGAUGUUGCCAGAAUCCAAUUUCCAUCAUCUCAACUCACUAUACUAGCUAGGGGAAAUGGGAUUUGCAAUUAGAAAUACUAGGAUGAUAACAUGUUCUUCAUACCAGACAUGUGGUAGAUAUAUAUUACUAAGACAGAAAGUAAAAUAAAGAACAGUAUUUUUGUUGUUGUUAA